UUGGAGGGCAGUCUGGUGCCAGCAGCCGCGGUAAUUCCAGCUCCAAUAGCGUAUAUUAAAGUUGUUGCAGUUAAAAAGCUCGUAGUUGAAUUUCGGGAUCAGAUUGUCGGUCGUGCCUCGGUACGCACUGGCAUUAUUGGUUCCUACCUUCUGAAGAACCGCGAUGUCAUUAAUUUGGUGUCGUGGGGAAUCAGGACUGUUACUUUGAAAAAAUUAGAGUGUUUAAAGCAGGCUUACGCUUGAAUACAUUAGCAUGGAAUAAUGAAAUAGGACGUUUGAUUCUAUUUUGUUGGUUCCUAGGAUUGACGUAAUGAUUAAUAGGGAUAGUUGGGGGCAUUAGUAUUCAAUUGUCAGAGGUGAAAUUCUUGGAUUUAUUGAAGACUAACUACUGCGAAAGCAUUUGCCAAGGAUGUUUUCAUUAAUCAAGAACGAAAGUUAGGGGAUCGAAGACGAUCAGAUACCGUCGUAGUCUUAACCAUAAACUACGCCGACUAGGGAUCGGAUGAUGUUAAUUUUUUAAUGACUCAUUCGGCGCCUUACGGGAAAC
rnacentral:rRNA from 1 species